AUUGAACGCUGGCGGAAUGCUUUACACAUGCAAGUCGAACGGCAGCGCGGGGGCAACCCUGGUGGCGAGUGGCGAACGGGUGAGUAAUACAUCGGAACGUGCCCGGUCGUGGGGGAUAACGUAGCGAAAGUUACGCUAAUACCGCAUACGAUCUGAGGAUGAAAGCGGGGGACCUUCGGGCCUCGCGCGAUCGGAGCGGCCGAUGUCAGAUUAGGUAGUUGGUGGGGUAAAGGCCUACCAAGCCGACGAUCUGUAGCUGGUCUGAGAGGACGACCACCCACACUGGGACUGAGACACGGCCCACACUCCUACGGGAGGCAGCAGUGGGGAAUUUUGGACAAUGGGCGCAAGCCUGAUCCAGCCAUUCCGCGUGCAGGACGAAGGCCUUCGGGUUGUAAACUGCUUUUGUACGGAACGAAAAGGCUCUGGCUAAUACCUGGGGCUCAUGACGGUACCGUAAGAAUAAGCACCGGCUAACUACGUGCCAGCAGCCGCGGUAAUACGUAGGGUGCAAGCGUUAAUCGGAAUUACUGGGCGUAAAGCGUGCGCAGGCGGUU
rnacentral:rRNA from 1 species